rnacentral:rRNA from 1 species
AUUGAACGCUGGCGGCAUGCUUUACACAUGCAAGUCGAACGGUAACAGGUUAAGCUGACGAGUGGCGAACGGGUGAGUAAUGCAUCGGAACGUGCCCGGUCGUGGGGGAUAACGCAGCGAAAGCUGCGCUAAUACCGCAUACGAUCUGAGGAUGAAAGCGGGGGACCGUAAGGCCUCGCGCGAUCGGAGCGGCCGAUGUCAGAUUAGGUAGUUGGUGGGGCAAAGGCUCACCAAGCCAACGAUCUGUAGCUGGUCUGAGAGGACGACCAGCCAAACUGGGAAUGAGACAAGGCCCGGACUCCUACGGGAGGCAGCAGUGGGGAAUUUUGGACAAUGGGCGAAAGCCUGAUCCAGCAAUGCCGCGUGCAGGAAGAAGGCCUUCGGGUUGUAAACUGCUUUUGUACGGAGCGAAAAGGUCUCCUCUAAUACAGGGGGCUCAUGACGGUACCGUAAGAAUAAGCACCGGCUAACUACGUGCCAGCAGCCGCAGUAA